CUGGCCGCCUUUGAUCUUGCAAAAAGAAGACUCUGAGCGUGGAAAGACCUGCUGACUCGGCCCCAGCCACUCUGUCCCAGAAGAAGACACCCAGAAGCCACCCCUAGGGACGAGGAGAGGGCGCCCUCCCUCCGGCCCAGGCCUAGGAGCCUCGGGGUGCCUCCACGGGCAGCACUCCACCCGGUUCCCUGCUUCAGUCCAAUCCCACGGGCCUGGCAAUGCGUGUUGAUUUUGGAUUUCGAUGGACAGAGCCCCGGGGCUGGAGUCAGGGGCUUGGGUUCGAAUCCUCAGGAAGGCCCCAUUUGGUUCGCAUUAGAUUGGACUCUGCCAACGUCUAGGAAUAUAUUCCAGACCGGGGGAUGGGCAUUUAGGGGACAAAGGCCAAGUCUGGCAACAGUCCCUGCACUCGGGCAUCGGGGGCUCUGGGUGGGCAUCCAAGAGAAAGCACUGACAACCAGAGGAAAUCGAGGAAGCCUGCCGGUAAAAGCUGGUACCUGGACUUAGCCACUCGGUCAAAGGGAACUAGGGUGAGGAAGGAAGGCACACGGGGGUGGGGGAGAACCUAGGCAACAGCAUGGAGGCAGGACUGCCAAGGAAGCCCGGAAUAAGGAAUCAAUCAAUCAGUGAAUUAUUAAUUAUUAUUAAUUACUAUUAAUCAAUCAAUUUACUUUUACUUAUUAUUGGUAAACAACUUUGAAGUCAAAUCAUUAUUAGUUCAUUAAAUUCUUUAUUAAGUGCCAGGCACUAGAGGCACAAGGGCAGAGGUUAGGAGAAGGCAAGGCCUCCCACCCCCUGCGCAGAAAGCUCUCAGUCUAACAGGGGAGCCAACAGGCAAACAGUGAUGGACAGGCUAAACAGGAAGUUGAAUGAGAAAAUGCAAGUGCUUCAUGGGCCUUUAAGGCCUUCUUCUUCCCCUGCCAAAAUCGAUUUCCUUUGGGGAUACGCUUUUCCUGCCUCGUGGAGAAGUCUGCCUUUCUGUAAUUUGCACCCGAUAUUCUGAGUUCUGUCCAAGCAGAAUAAAGCCAACCCUUCUGCCAGGACAAGGAUGAGCCCUUCAACGAUGUGAAGACCGCUGUCCCCUCCACUCCAAGUUUUGGUUCUCACAGAGCUCUGCUUGAAGACCUUCAAUAAAGGGGAGCUCACUACCUCCCUGGACCACUUUGGGAUUGCUCUCCCUGUUAGACAGCCGAAAUCUCUUCUCUGGAGCCCAGCAGAAUGGAGCCAAUCCUGGCUCCCUCUUUUCCAAGUGGAGCAGUUCCAGUUCCUUCAACCGUCUUUCAUGUGACAUCAGUCAGUAACCUGGAGAAUGUCCGGAGAAUGGCGACCAGGAUGUGGGACAACCUCCAGACCACGCUAUUGGAAGCUUCCCCAGAUGUAGCGUACAGUUCCUUUCUGCCGCCAGUCGUGGGAUCCAACAGGUUUAUUUGUUCUUCUCUUAUUCAUGGGCUCUGGGGCAUUUCUCACUGCUGCUAAUGCUGUGGUCCAGAAAUCCUGAUUAAUCACCCGGUUCAAGGCCUCUGCAGCCCUUCCCGCAGUGAUGGCCGACUUUCCUGCUAAUUGGACCUUCCCAGAUGAAGUUGAAGUCACCCGUUCAUCAGGAAAGCCAGGGAUUAGUGGCUUCACUGGGGAUCUUGGGCCUGGAGAAGAGACGAUUUCCAUGGGAACCCAUCCUCGUCCUUGUCAAGUAUUUGAAGGAUUAGCAGGGGAAGGAAGGAUUGGGCUUUUGCUUGGCUCCAAAGGGCAGGGAGCCAUGAGCAAACAUUCCAAAAGAAGGGAAUUUAGGCUUGCUGUCUGGAAAAACAUCCCGAUGAUGAAAGCUGUCCCAGGGUGGACUGGGCAGCUCGAGAGGUGGAGGGGGGAUGAGAAUGGUGCCUGGAUCAGGUGCCCCCCAGAGAGGGCUUUGCAAACCCCUUUUGUUGUGAGUCAUUCAGUCGUGUCCGGCUCUUUGUGACCCCAUGGACCAUCGCACUCCAUAGGAUUUUCUUGGCAAGGAUGCUGCUUUGGCUCACCAUUUCCUUCUCCAGGCUGUAAACUCAAAAAUGCUCUAAAAAUGUGAAUGUUCUUUCUGCCUCUGUUCACACCGAGAUGACAUCUCCAAUCAUCCCACCACCCCAUGAAAGCUUUUUCUUUUCUUUUGAAAUCCUUAUCUUCCAUCUUAGAAUCAAUACUGUGCAUGGGUUCAAGGCAAAAGAGCAGUAAGAGCUAGGCAAUAGAAGUUAAGUGACUUGCCUAGGGUCACACAGCUAUGACGUGUCUGGUUCCACAUUUGAUCCCAGGACUUCUCAUCUCCAAGCCUGGAGCUCUAUCCACUGAGCCAUCUAACGGCCACUCAUAAAGCCUUUUUGGACCCUUUCAGCCACCAUGAUCUCUCUUAGACCUUAUUUCUAUGGGUCAAUGAUAUCACCAAUGGGUGGAUGUCUAGCAGUGCAGGUAACAACCUAGUUAUCCUGGGCAAUUCUCUCUUCCAAUAAAGAUAAUAGACCAGGAGGCAGUAUGGUUGGGGGGAAGGGGAAUGCCUCAGGAAUCAUAAGGCAUGGGUUCAAACCCCAGAUCUUUAGCUUGUUCCCUAGUCGAGCCAUUUCAUGUCCUCAAGACUCAAUUUCCUCAUUUUUAAAAAUGGGGGCUGGAGGCUGGGUCUCUUGAGGUGCUUUAAAGCUCCAAUCGUUAAACCCCUUCUAGCUGAAACUCUGGCCAUUGUGUGGACCCUGAGAGAGGGCUGGGGCUGUCCAUUGGUCCUCUCCGUGCAACUACCCUACUUCCUUUCCUGGUUCCCCAUAUCUUCAAUGACAUCUCCAGCGCUAUGUCUCUUGAACAAUUCAUAAUUGGUCAUGUUUGCUGCCUGUGUGUGCUGAUGGCCCCAUCCAUUCUGCUCUCUUCCUGUGGUUCUGUUUGAGGCCUGGAUCAUUGUCCAUACAAAGGAUCUGUCCAUCAUCUAUCUACCGACAAGCUUGAAUUCAUAGGUUGCCCAUCUAGCUGUGUUAAAAUUAAAAUUAAUCUACAAUAAUUUCAAAUAUUAUAUUUUAUAAGAUUUAUUAAUGAUCACUAGAAGUAACAAAAUAAAAAGGUAACAAAAUAAAGCCAAGUGCCCAUGGCUAAUCUACCUGUUUAAACAGCCCGCUCCACCACAGUCGCCAACAGGAAGCAAAGAAAGCUAGCCACGGAAGACCACCCUAUUUAUCCUCUGUCUACAUCAGCACAUAAGGACAGGAAGUCAGUGGGCUCCUAGGAAAUGUAGUUCAAAGGUGCAAGAUUUCCAAUUACACAGCUGCUAACAUUGUCUAGACCAGAGAUGUCCACCCUCCACAGUCCUGAAUAUGGCCCCUUGAACCAGAUCAAAAUAUAAUAGGGAAAUGUUUAACAAAAUAAAUAUAAAUAUAAUAAAACAGAUAAUAUUACAUUUUAAAACUGAGUCAAUGGACAGCCUCCUUUUUCACUUGAGUUUGACACUGGAGAUCUAGACAAUAGACAUUAUUCAUCCACUUGGUUUUUCCUGUGUAGAUAGUUAGAUAGAACUCCUUGGAGCGAUUUUAGAUCCAUUUAAGAGCUUCCAUUCUUCACUUUGGAGUAUUCCACAGCUCAAAAUGUUUAUAGGACUAUUAAGAGCAUGAGUUGUUCAGCUGUUUUAGGUCAUGGAGCCCUUUGGUGGUCCAGUCAAAUCUAUGGACCCCUUCUUGGAAUACUAUGUUUCAAAGUCUCAAAUGAAAGACAUAGGAAACCAAAGGUCAAUUUUCACAGUGUAUGGACCCCCUGAAAUAUAUUUGGGUGGCCCAGGCAAGAACCUCCAUCUAGAAGACUCUGUCAUUCACAGGGAAUCCCUCUUUGGUCUGAACUUGGCUUUGCACACCUCGGUGAUGGGACCAUAUGGUUUGAUUUGGUCUAUCCCAACUGGAAGACCUGGUCACUGUAAGGGCACAGAGGUGAAGACGGACCAUUGAUCCUGUUUUGUUGGUUGUGAUUUUAUUCUUGGGCCUAUUACCUAGAAUUUCCUUUCAUACUUCACUACUUUCAAACUAUCUCCUUUUAUAUUUCAACUCCUUUUGAUGCAUGGCCUUGACCUUUUGGCCUUUGCUUUUCCUUUUAAACUCUUUCCUGGUAACAGCUCUAAGACAUAAGGGCAAGGGUUAGGCAAACAGGGUUAAAUGACUUGCCCAGGGUCACAUAGCUAGGAAGUGUCUGAGGUCAUAUUUGAGCACAGGUCCUCUUGACUCCAGGCCUGGCUCUCUAUCCUCUGUGCCGCCUAGCUGCCCCCUUUGCUUCCUUCCUCCCUUUCUAUUAUCAGAAUGAUUUACUGAGUCAUAACCUCCAUCAUGGCCACCAAAUUUAGUCUAAGGUAGCUAUCAAAGGCUCAGGCUGAGGGCUAGAAAGACCCGAGUUUGAAUCUAGUCUCAUAGCCUAGCUAAGUGGUGUUGGGCAGUCACUGCACAUCCACGCCAAUGCCCCAGGCAACCCACUAAGACUAUAAUGUAUAAACCAAUUGCUAGACUGCUCUGGUAGAAUGAGGGUCCACUCUGGGAGUUCCAUGCUCUUACAGAAUCAGAGCUUGAAUCCUUCAACCCACCCACUCUCUCAGAAUGAGAAUGCUUAGACUUGUUUCAAAUUCUUCCAUUUUUUUAAUUUAAAAAAAAAGGUUUUUUAGUCUUAAAAAAUGUUAUUUAAUUAAUUUAGAAUAUUUUUCCAUGGUUCCAUGAUUCAUGUUCUUUCUCUCCCCUCCUCCCACCCCCCUCCCAUAGCCAACAAGCAAUUCCACUCCUCCAUUUUUUAGCCCUCUCUAGCCUCAGUUUCCCUCUGCCUCGUAGGGUCUUUUGUUCCUUUAAGAUAAGCUCAAGCACCAUCUUCUUUCUGGAGCCUCUCCUGACGCCCCCCUCCCCAAAUGCUAGUGCCCCUCCCUGCCUUGAGCUCCUUUGUGCAUAUUUGUACUUGGCCACUUUACCUUUAUAUAGCCCUGGGGUUUGGGUCUUGCCCUUGUUGUCUUCCAUAGUAGACAGGAAGCUCUUUGGGAGGGAACAGGGAUCCCUGUGUUCUUCAUAUUUGGGUCCCUAGUGCCCUGCGUGGUGCCUGGCACACAGUAAGCACUUCAUGGUGUCUGGAUUGGAUCCCCAGCACCAGGCACAGUAUCUGGCAUAUAGUAUGGGCUUAGCAAAGGCUUGGUGAUUGACUGACUCAUUCAUUCAUUCAUUCAUUCAUUCAUUCAUUCAUUCAUUCAUUCAUUCAUUCAUUCAUUCAUUCAUCUGUGGGAGAAUCCGUGGAUUAGAAGGGUGGAGUUUACAUUUUAUAGAACCCAUUUCUCACCUUGGGGAAAAGAGACCCAUGAGAGAUCAGAGGCCUCCCUCAGAAGGGACCCUAGAGCUCUGAGAGGCCCGUCUCCACCCCAAGCAUGAGUUCACACCACAAAGUUGUUGACAAAAUGGUCAUCUGGUCUUUGUAAGAGAAACUUCUAAUGCCAUUAAUGACACCAUUCUUUCUUUUUGGUCAGCUCUAAUUGUUGGGAUCUAGAGAGAUUAGAUGUUAUAUAGGGAUGAUAAUUAUAAUUAUAAUGGAGAUAAUAACAAUACCUCUCUCCCUCCCUUCCUUUUUCCCUCCUCCUUCCCUU